rnacentral:misc_RNA from 1 species
UACGAAGGGCCCGAGCGUUAAUCGGAAUCACUGGGCUUAAAGGGUGCGUAGGCGGAUCCGCAAGUGCUUUGUGAAAUCCCAGGGCUCAACCCUGGAAUUGCUUGGCAGACUGCGGAUCUUGAGCUCGACAGAGGUUGUCGGAACUCUAGGUGGAGCGGUGAAAUGCGUAGAUAUCUAGAGGAACGCCGAAGGUGAAGACAGGCAACUGGGUCGACGCUGACGCUGAGGCACGAAAGCGUGGGGAGCGAACGGG